ACAUACGGCCAAACCACCCUGAACACGCCCGAUCUCGUCUGAUCUCGGAAGCUAAGCAGGGUCGGGCCUGGUUAGUACUUGGAUGGAGACCGCCUGGGAAUACCGGGUGCUGUAGGCU
rnacentral:rRNA from 1 species